rnacentral:miRNA from 1 species
UUCCUUCCGAUCAAUGAGGUGUAACAGCCUCAUCAACUGGAAGGAAUCCCUUCCAGUCAAUGAGGUUGUUAUACCUCAUCAAACGGAAGGGGUUCCUUCCGGUUGAUGAGGUUGUUGUUUCUCAUUGACCAGAAGGAU